AAAUUUAUGCGCUUUAUGAUGAUGAGAGCUGAACAUUUUACUGUUCUGCGGCGAAAACCUGUAGAGGGAUAUGACAUUAGCUUCCUUAUUACAAAUACGCACACAGAGCAGAUGUAUAAACACAAGCUGGUUGACUUUAUCAUUCACUUCAUGGAGGAAAUAGACAAAGAAAUUAGUGCUAUGAAACUAGCCGUCAAUUCACGGGCCAGAAUCAGCGCAGAAGAAUUUCUGAAGCGAUUUUAAUUUCUAUUUUAUUAAACUGAAAUCCUUUAUGUCAUCUUUGUGCACUCAGUAUAUUUAUAUAAUAAUGUUUAUAUACAUAUAUAUUUGAGCACAACAUAAUGUGUUUGAAGUAUAUUGAUUGAUAUUUUAAGGUCUUCAUACGGGCAAUGACGGGAAAAAGUGGUAUUUAUGAUCAGUUCUUGACUUUUGAAUGAAAGAGAGUCAGAAACAUUGGUUAAUGCUGGACGACACUGGUAUGGAAUAGCCUAGUCAUAGACAUAUUCUUACACUAAUAUACAUGGAACUUUAUAGAUCAUCUUCCUAUACAUCAAUGCAUAUAAACAGCCUUUUUCUUUCUAUAUACAUUUAUGAUCGGGGGAAAAAACUUCUUAAAUGAUGAUGAUCAGAUGAGAGUGAAUGUUAAUGUCUGUGUAUGUAAUACUUGUAAUACAAUGUUACAUUAAUUAGACAGUAUGGAAACAGUACAACAAUAUUAAAUUUAUUUUCUUAUGC
rnacentral:misc_RNA from 1 species